AAAUAUGUUAAAGACGAUGAGGUGCUCAUAUGCUGUGGCCAUAAAGCUGGAAUAGCAGUGUAGGUUAAUUAUCCCAUCUUCUGGUUUGCUGAUCAGUGGGUAAAGGCAUGCAGUUCAGAAAAUGGGAUGUAUGCAACAAACCUCAUCCCUAUUCCUGUACGCUCAGUCGUCAAAAUCAGAUGUCACCACUGGGAGGCAUCACUGGCAGGAGAGAGUUUCAGCCACUCUCAUGAGUUAGACUGGGGUUGGUGAAGAAGCCAGCUUGGUCUGGGAUGAGGAGGUGUUCCAGCUUGCCUGAACCAAAACUGACUUGGGGAAUUUUUGUAGGCAUUGCUUCACUAUCAAGAGAAAUAGCAGGGCAAAGUGGUUGAGAACUGUUGUCAUGGUUUUACUGUUGAUGCCUUGUGUGACCUCAUGGGUAGGUUGGCUUGUCCUUGUGCUCUCACUGGGUCCUCUGCAUGCUCAGCCCCUUUGGCUGAAGUGGAAGGGCUGUGCUAAAGUGUUUUAAGAGAGCUAAGACAGUGAGGGCUGUUGGUCUUUGCUGGGUCUGAAAAAUCAUGUUAGAGAUUAAUAGAGAUGAGGAGCUGCUCUACUUUGUCAACACGCAUGGUGCAUUGUCAAAUUUGUUUGCUGAUGUAAUGUCCAGGCUCAGGUAAAGAGUGGAUGAAAUCUCCUGUUGCCUUGUUACUUGCUAUUGCCCUCUGUUCGUGGUCAUCUGUGGUGGGAAGGACUUGCAAAAGGGAAAUACUUGUUUACACAAAACAAGUUGAGAUUCCUGCAAAUUUGAGGAACAACAUCUGCUGCUGAGACAAGGUGUGUCAAGCAGUCCCUGCCAGCCUGUAACAGCAGUUGGGCAGCCAGGGAACUUAUUCAGAGCUCUCGAGGACCACUCAAUUAUCAUUCAUUAACAAGUCUAAAGGUUAGCUCCUUGCCAGCCCUCUAUGUGCCAAACUCCUCCUGGGUGAUACGGCCAGCAAGGAGAGCUUGGGGGAUAGUGUUCCCAGUCCACAUUUGAACCAGUAACAAGUGCGGUUAUUGAUUUAGCUGUUAGCAUCAGCCAAAGUCUUUCACUUACUCGCUUGAGGGCUAUUUACUUGUCCUGCCCACUCCACCUCGUUGAGACGCCCUACUGUCCCAACUGACAGGGCUGAAACCAUGCUCGUGAGAAAUCUGCAGAGUCCAGCCUGCUAUUCUGGCCUGAAUUAGUAAUUGUGGAAGAUAAAACCAUCUGCUG
rnacentral:lncRNA from 1 species